GUCGACGUUUCGGUCGGAUACCGACCUUUAUCAAGACUUAGUUUUUGAUAAAGGUCGGGAUCCGACCGAAACGUCGA
rnacentral:pre_miRNA from 1 species